rnacentral:rRNA from 1 species
UACGGAGGGGACUAGCGUUGUUCGGAAUUACUGGGCGUAAAGCGCACGUAGGCGGAUUUGUAAGUCAGGGGUGAAAUCCCGGGGCUCAACCUCGGAACUGCCUUUGAUACUGCAAAUCUCGAGUCCGGAAGAGGUGAGUGGAAUUCCUAGUGUAGAGGUGAAAUUCGUAGAUAUUCGGAAGAACACCAGUGGCGAAGGCGGCUUACUGGUCCGGUACUGACGCUGAGGUGCGAAAGCGUGGGGAGCAAACAGG